rnacentral:lncRNA from 1 species
GUGUGCUGCUGGUCAGCGUGGAGGCUUUACAAAAGCACAGGAACAAAUAUGCAGUUCUUCACAAAUACUCAAUUUACCCAGAAGUGCUCAGCUGCCUGGGGGGAACAGGCUCUCUGCUGACCCAGAUAAGCAGACCUAGGGCUCUGUGAUGUCGGCAUGAGGCCCUUCAAGGUGCCUCUCACCACAGGACAUCAGGAGGCUGGGCGGCCCUGUCCAAACACAAACACGCUGGCAGUGGUGUCCCUACCUACACAGAUGUGAACACAAAGGAGAUUUUUCAGCUAAUAAGAUCCUCUGGUGUUUGUAGCACUAAGCAGGGGACAACUUCAGGAGAGGGCUCUGCUGGCGUCCCCAAACUAGCACUUGGAAUCAUAAUGGUGCUAUGAGACAAGCGAACACAGUAAGCUGGGGAGAUGAGUGAUUGCAUCUGAUGUUGGAGGACUGGAUCCUGCAGGAAGGUUAGGGGGCAACAUCCCCACGGUCACUGUUUGUUUGUUUACCUAACUUCAAAAUUCUCUCUGGAGCUGCUUAGACAAAGCCUGACUUAUCUUCCCAAAGAUGAAACACUGGAAACAGUCCUGACAAAACAACCUACUGAUAAGUCAGAAGAAGAAUUAAGAAUGUGGAACUGGAGAAGAACUAUAGUAAAAGUGGUAUGCUGGAGUGCAUAGGAAUACUUGGGUCAGAAGGAAGUGAGACCCACACCUGUUGAGUACUUGAGAGUCACAAGGUAUGUUAUGCCCAUUACAAGUCCCACUCAUUCUCGUAACAACCCAACAAGGCAGUG